AGGCCUUGAUGCUGAAGAACAGAAGAAUCAGAGAAGAGAAGGCUUGUGAUGCUAAGUAUAAUUGUUUUGUGUGUGUUUUUAAAUGUUUUAUAAUUAUUGGCCAUCUCCUCACUAUUAUUAGGGUGAAGGGGAGUAGGUAGGGACUUUUAUUUUAGGGGGACAACUAGGGGCUUGGAGACCCUGAGCCACCUGGGGUGGGCUAACUAGUAUUUGGGAAGGUGAACAAUGGCAUGGGCGGAGCCAGGGGAGGGGGCUAUAAAUUCCCCGUAAUAUUUCAAAUAGCCCCCAUCUGAUGCCCAUGGGAACUAUGUCUUCCCCUUGCUAUUUCUAGCAACUAGUUUUUAAUGUUUAGCAGACAUGUACCGAACUCCCAGAUAGAUAUGGAGGUACAUUUCCUCCAUUGUAGCAAUAUGGGGGUCUUAUUGACCCCCGUAGGAUUUUUAUUUAUUUAGUUUAAUAAGCAUUGUGGAGGGAUUUGAACUAUUUGCAUGCUGGCUGCUAAUGCUGCCAGCGAGCAAACAGUCUUUUAAAUUAUUAUUCACUUGAAAAAACAAACUAAUAAUAACUGGUGAAUGUGCGUCCAGCAGUAUGCAUUUGGUUGAUAUCAGCCUCCAUUCGGUUGUUGAUAAAUCUCCAAUUCCAGUGCUAUAAAUCCUCUGUCUGAGUGUCUGUGCUGGUUUUCCAUUCAAUACUAAAAUUAGCUUUCAGUAGCAUGCUACAUGCAAAUGUGUUGGUAUCAUCAAGUGCUGAUUUCCUUUCUAAUUUAAAAAUAUUGCAAGUUAAAAAUGUAAUCACCCAGACGCAUAGACACGUAGAUUGUGUUUCAAAGAAUGUGGACGACUAGACAGACUAAAAAAAGGAAUUAGACAAGAUGUGUUUAAAGAAGUGUGACAAAAUGGUUGUUCACUUACCAGCAGAAGUGGAAAGCCAGAACUUCGCUCUUAAUGUUUAUGGAGAAUUCCGAGCAUCAUUUAAGUUUGCUGUUCCAAUUUUGAUUUUUGUUUUUCAUAAUUUUACUUCUUCCAUGUCCCACAAGUGCUGCAAUCAGUAGUUUAUAUAAAAUACUUUGCACACAACAGUAAUGUGCAGUUUUACAAAGGAAUUACAUAUUAUUCAUUAUUAAUUUACUCAAAUAUAUUUAUCGAAUUUUUAUGUAUUAAAAAUUAGCUUAACAAUAAAAAUGAAAUUUAUGGUUAUUUUUUUUCAUUCACGUAUAUUUAGUUGGUGAUUAUUUGCCAUAUGCUGCAGCAGUAAAAUAUUCAUGAGGUUAAGCAAAAUCUCCAUUAUUAUUCAGAAUUAGAUUUUUUUUUUGCCUAUGCUGAAUUGUAUACAAUUUAAUUUAAUUGAUUUGAUUUUUUUGGAUUCCUAUAAGUAAUAUUUUAGUAGUAGGCAAUGUUUUAGCUGACUGCCAUACACUACAAUUUGUUUUUAAUAGUGCAAUAUCAGAAAAAAAUGCAUAUGUAGUUUGGUUUCUAAUUAUUUCGUUUUCACAUAAGUUAGAAAAUACAUGUCUUAUAACUUAUUAAUAAAUGUUUGCUUUUUUUUUUUUUCUUUGAUGUAACACUAUUGCACAAUGUUACUUGAGAGUGAUGCUAAUACCAAUUUUAUUUUUUUUGGAAGGUGAUACAGGCUCUGAAUCAUAAAAUCGAUGAAUAUGAAGUUAACUUUCUAGCCUUGAAAGAAACCCAUCAAGAAGAAAUUGAUCUAAUUUCCGCCGAAACACUGGAGAAAUGCCUCCAGUAUGAUAAGAAAAUCGAAGAGGAAGAGAGCUUGCGAUUGCGAAUACUGAGCCUUGAAGAAUCCCUGGAAAAAAAUAAUUUGAUAAAGGAGCAAAGCUUAGCGGAUUUUGCCACUUAUAAAAAACAAACAGAGGAAAGCGAGCUGAAAACCAAAGCCGAACAUGACGAGAAGGUCGCAGCCUUAUCCAAUGAGAUCCAGUCGAUGAAAAAUGACUAUGAAAAUCACCUUAAGAAGCUAACAGAGGAAGCAGAUUCCUUGAGAAACGAGUGUAAAUCAUGCAAAAAAGACAGGCCGUCUGAUAAUGUAACUGAGAAGCUAAAUAAAGAGAUUGAUGCUUUAAGUAAAGAAGUAGAGAACCUGAAAUCUCAGCAAAAAAUGGUAACGGAGGAGUAUAGGCGGAAAGUGGGGAACCUGCACAGUAGCUACAGCAAAGAGAGAGAGAGCCUGAGGAAAGCCUUGCAACAAUCAGUGACUGACAUGAUACAGCAGCUACAACAGAAGGAACAAGAGCAGAAGAGAUGUGUUCAGGCAAAGGAAGAUGCCAUGCUACAGGAAGUAAAGCAGCUAAAAGGGGAGAUUGAUACAAAGACUCAAGAGAUUCUAGAAAUUACAAAGCACUCUCAGAAGAUGAAAGAGAAGAUACAGGUUUGCAA